GACGAACGCUGGCGGCGUGCCUAAUGCAUGCAAGUCGAGCGAGCGGAACCAACAGAUUUACUUCGGUAAUGACGUUGGGAAAGCGAGCGGCGGAUGGGUGAGUAACACGUGGGGAACCUGCCCCUAAGUCUGGGAUACCAUUUGGAAACAGGUGCUAAUACCGGAUAAGAAAGCAGAUCGCAUGAUCAGCUUUUAAAAGGCGGCGUAAGCUGUCGCUAAGGGAUGGCCCCGCGGUGCAUUAGCUAGUUGGUAAGGUAACGGCUUACCAAGGCAACGAUGCAUAGCCGAGUUGAGAGACUGAUCGGCCACAUUGGGACUGAGACACGGCCCAAACUCCUACGGGAGGCAGCAGUAGGGAAUCUUCCACAAUGGACGCAAGUCUGAUGGAGCAACGCCGCGUGAGUGAAGAAGGUUUUCGGAUCGUAAAGCUCUGUUGUUGGUGAAGAAGGAUAGAGGUAGUAACUGGCCUUUAUUUGACGGUAAUCAACCAGAAAGUCACGGCUAACUACGUG
rnacentral:rRNA from 1 species